UACGUAGGGUCCGAGCGUUGUCCGGAAUUAUUGGGCGUAAAGAGCUCGUAGGCGGUCUGUCGCGUCUGGUGUGAAAAUCCAGGGCUUAACCCUGGACCUGCAUCGGGUACGGGCAGACUAGAGGUAUGCAGGGGAGAACGGAAUUCCUGGUGUAGCGGUGAAAUGCGCAGAUAUCAGGAGGAACACCGGUGGCGAAGGCGGUUCUCUGGGCAUUACCUGACGCUGAGGAGCGAAAGUGUGGGGAGCGAACAGG
rnacentral:rRNA from 1 species